rnacentral:rRNA from 1 species
UGGGGAAUUUUGCACAAUGGGGGAAACCCUGAUGCAGCGACGCCGCGUGAUUUAGAAGGCCUUCGGGUUGUAAAAAUCUUUUCUAUGGGAAGAAAAUGACAGUACCAUAGGAAUAAGGACCGGCUAAUUACGUGCCAGCAGCCGCGGUAAUACGUAAGGUCCGAGCGUUGUCCGGAAUCAUUGGGCGUAAAGGGUACGUAGGCGGGUAAGCAAGUUUGAAGUGAAAUCCUAUAGCUCAACUAUAGUAAGCUUUUAAAACUGCUCAUCUUGAGGUAUGGAAGGGAAAGUGGAAUUCCUAGUGUAGCGGUGAAAUGCGCAGAUAUUAGGAGGAAUACCGGUGGCGAAGGCGACUUUCUGGCCAUAACCUGACGCUGAGGUACGAAAGCGUGGGUAGCAAACAGG